rnacentral:lncRNA from 1 species
GGGGUUCCAAUUGCGUGCGCGUAUGGAUGCUCCUUUCCCCGCCGCCUUUCUAGCAACUAGUUGAUGUUAUGAUGCAUCGUUGGUCCGGCGUACGAUGGCGCCUGGUGCGAUGUAUGCGUCCGGAAGCCCUUUCAGCCUCCAGGCAUGUCCCCACCUGCCUCACAGCCACCGACGCAUCUCACGGCGGGGUUCCAAUUGCGUGCACGUAUGGAUGCUCCUUUCCCCGCCGCCUUUCUAGCAACUAGUUGAUGUUAUGAUGCAUCGUUGGUCCGGUGUACGACGGCGCCUGGUGCGAUUUAUGCGUCCGGAAGCCCUUUCAGCCUCCAGGCAUGUCCCCACCUGCCUCACAGCCACCGACGCAUCUCACGGCGGGGUUCCAAUUGCGUGCGCGUAUGGAUGCUCCUUUCGCCGCCUUUCCAGCAACUAGUUGAUGUUAUGAUGCAUCGUUGGUCCGGCGUACGACGGCGCCUGAUGCGAUUUAUGCGUCCGGAAGCCCUUUCAGCCUCCAGGCAUGUCCCCACCUGCCUCACAGCCACCGACGCAUCUCACGGCGGGGGUCUAAUUGUGUGCGCGUAUGGAUGCUCCUUUCGCCGCCGCUUUCUAGCAACUAGUUGAUGUUAUGAUGCAUCGUUGGUCCGGCGUACGACGGCGCCUGAUGCGAUUUAUGCGUCCGGAAGCCCUUUCAGCCUCCAGGCACGUCCCCACCUGCCUCACAGCUACCGACGCAUCUCACGGCGGGGGUCUAAUUGUGUGCGCGUAUGGAUGCUCCUUUCGCCGCCGCUUUCUAGCAACUAGUUGAUGUUAUGAUGCAUCGUUGGUCCGGCGUACGACGGCGCCUGAUGCGAUUUAUGCGUCCGGAAGCCCUUUCAGCCUCCAGGCAUGUCCACACCUGCCUCACAGCCACCGACGCAUCUCACGGCGGGGGUCUAAUUGCGUGCGCGUAUGGAUGCUCCUUUCCCCGCCGCAUUUCUAGCAACUAGUUGAUGUUAUGAUGCAUCGUUGGUCCGGUGUACGAUGGCGCCUGAUGCGAUUUAUGCGUCCGGAAGCCCUUUCAGCCUCCAGGCAUGUCCCCACCUGCCUCACAGCCACCGACGCAUCUCACGGCGGGGGUCUAAUUGCGUGCGCGUAUGGAUGCUCCUUUCGCCGCCUUUCUAGCAACUAGUUGAUGUUCUGAUGCAUCGUUGGUCCGGCGUACGACGGCGCCUGAUGCGAUUUAUGCGUCCGGAAGCCCUUUCAGCCUCCAGGCAUGUCCCUACCUGCCUCACAGCCACCGACGCAUCUCACGGCGGGGUUCCAAUUGUGUGCGCGUAUGGAUGCUCCUUUCCCCGCCGCCUUUCUAGCAACUAGUUGAUGUUAUGAUGCAUCGUUGGUCCGGUGUACGACGGCGCCUGAUGCGAUUUAUGCGUCCGGAAGCCCUUUCAGCCUCCAGGCACGUCCCCACCUGCCUCACAGCCACCGAGGCAUCUCACGGCGAGGGUCUAAUUGCGUGCGCGUAUGGAUGCUCCUUUCGCCGCCUUUCCAGCAACUAGUUGAUGUUAUGAUGCAUCGUUGGUCCGGCGUACGACGGCGCCUGAUGCGAUUUAUGCGUCCGGAAGCCCUUUCAGCCUCCAGGCAUGUCCCCACCUGCCUCACAGCCACCGACGCAUCUCACGGCGGGGUUCCAAUUGCGUGCGCGUAUGGAUGCUCCUUUCGCCGCCUUUCCAGCAACUAGUUGAUGUUAUGAUGCAUCGUUGGUCCGGUGUACGACGGCGCCUGAUGCGAUUUAUGCGUCUGAAAGCCCUUUCAGCCUCCAGGCAUGUCCCCACCUGCCUCACAGCCACCGACGCAUCUCACGGCGGGGUUCCAAUUGCGUGCGCGUAUGGAUGCUCCUUUCC